rnacentral:rRNA from 1 species
GCGAUAGCCUCAGUAACGGCGAGUGAAGCGGCUACAGCUCAAAUUUGAAAUCUGGCCCUCUUCCGGGGGUCCGAGUUGUAAUUUGCAGAGGAUGCUUUGGCAUUGGCGGCGGUCUAAGUUCCUUGGAACAGGACAUCGCAGAGGGUGAGAAUCCCGUACGUGGGCGCCUGCCUUUGCCGUGUAAAGCUCCUUCGACGAGUCGAGUUGUUUGGGAAUGCAGCUCUAAAUGGGAGGUAAAUUUCUCCUAAAGCUAAAUACCGGCCAGAGACCGAUAGCGCACAAGUAGAGUGAUCGAAAGAUGAAAAGUACUUUGGAAAGAGAGUCAAAUAGCACGUGAAAUUGUUGAAAGGGAAGCGCUUGCAGCCAGACUUGCCCGCAGUUGCUCACCCAGGCUCUUGCCUGGGGCACUCUUCUGCGGGCAGGCCAGCAUCAGUUUGGGCGGUCGGAUAAAGGCCUCUGUCACGUACCACCUUUUCGGGGGUGGCCUUAUAGGGGAGGCGCAAUGCGGCCAGCCCGGACUGAGGUCCGCGCAUCUGCUAGGAUGCUGGCGUAAUGGCUGUAAGCGGCCCGUCUUGAAACACGGACCAAGGAGUCUAACAUCUAUGCGAGUGUUUGGGUGUCAAGCCCGGGCGCGCAAUGAAAGUGAACGGAGGUGGGAACCCCCUCGGGGCGCACCAUCGACCGAUCCUGAUGUCUUCGGAUGGAUUUGAGUAAGAGCAUAGCUGUUGGGACCCGAAAGAUGGUGAACUAUGCUUGAAUAGGGUGAAGCCAGAGGAAACUCUGGUGGAGGCUCGCAGCGGUUCUGACGUGCAAAUCGAUCGUCAAAUUUGGGCAUAGGGGCGAAAGACUA